rnacentral:rRNA from 1 species
AUGAAAGGCUGGAAACCUAAGCUGUUGGCACCGGCUAGUAGACUUGCUUUGACAAGUUCGGUGUUAAUGGCCUUACCUAUCCAUUUUCUGUCAGUCUUCCCUCUACCGGUUUGGGCACUCAAGAUGAUUGACAGGAGAUGUAGAAGCUUUCUGUGGAAAGGUGAGGAGGACAUCAAUGGAGGGCAUUGUUUGGUCCCUUGGGCCAGAGUCUGCAGACCAAAAGAAUGGGGAGGGCUCGGCCUUCUCAAUCUGAAGAACUUUGGGACUGCUCUGAGAUGCCGUUGGCUUUGGCUGGGCUGGAGUCAGGGGAACCGUCCAUGGCAAUUGCUUCCGGAUCAGCAGGACAAGGAUGCAGCUGCAAUGUUCGACGCGGCAUGCCGAGUGGUGCUGGGGAAUGGGGAGACAACAAGAUUCUGGUCAGACAACUGGGCUCCAGGGGGCCGGAUUAUCGCAGUCUUGGCCCCCGCUCUGUUUUCAUUCGUGAAAGACUCCAAUCUGUCAGUUAAGGAUGCUUUGCACAAUAGAAGGUGGAUCAAGGACAUCAAAGGCGGCCUGACAACACAGGCCUUGUCGCAAUACUUAUUGGUGUGGGAUAUUGCUCAUGCCACCACUUUAUCUGCUGCAACGGAGGAUCAACUCCUGUGGAAGUUGACGGAAAACCACCAGUUCACGGUGAACAGCGCUUACAGGAUGUUCUUCACGGCCGGAGUCAGCUUUGCCUGUAACAAGCCCAUUUGGAAGACCAAAGCUCCGGCUCGCUGCAAGUUCUUCAUGUGGCUGGUUAUACAGAGGAAGUUCCUGACGGCGGAUAACAUACUGCGAUGCGGGUGGCCGUUCAAUGACCACUGUCCGCUCUGCCUAAUGUUUCCAGAGGACUGCUCGCACCUAUUCCUGCUCUGCCGCUUCACGCAACAGCUCUGGACGGCGUUCCAGCAAUGGUCGGGCGUCAGUUUCCCAAUGCCAAACAGCAGCUCCGGAAGCACUGAGGCCUGGUGGCUGGAGGCGAGAAGGGCUAUUCCGAAGCAUUUGCGCCGGAACUUCGACACCAUGGUCAUCCUGAUACACUGGAGGGUCUGGAGGGAGCGGAACGCUAGAAUUUUUCAGCAAAUGGCGUGUGACGUUGAUCGAGUACUAGACCUCAUCAGAGAGGACAUAGGUGUAUGGAGAUCGGCAGGAUGUGUGUCCGAUCUGGUGAGUUAG